rnacentral:rRNA from 1 species
UUGAUCCUUGGCUCAGAUUGAACGCUGGCGGGAUGCUACACAUGCAAGUCGAACGGCAGCCUGGACUUCGGUCUGGUGGCGAGUGGCGAACGGGUGAGUAAUGUAUCGGAACGUGCCUAGUAGCGGGGGAUAACUACGCGAAAGCGUAGCUAAUACCGCAUACGCCCUUCGGGGAAAAGCAGGGGACCUUCGGGCCUCGCACUAUUAAACGGCCGAUAUCGGAUUAGCUAGUUGGUGGGGUAACGGCUCACCAAGGCGACGAUCCGUAGCUGGUUUGAGAGGACGACCAGCCACACUGGGACAGAGACCUGGCCCAGACUCCCGGGGAGAGCAGCAGUGAGGAAUUACGGACGGCGUGGGGGAAACCCUGGUCCAGCCAUCCGCGUGUGCGAUGAAGGCCUUCGGGUUGUAAAGCACUUUUGGCAGAAAGAAACGGCGCAGAGUAAUACCCCGUGCAACUGACGGUACCUGCAGAAUAAGCACCGGCCUAACUACGUGCCAGCAGCCGCGGUAAUACGUAGGGUGCAAAGCGUUAAUCGGAAUUGCUGGGCGUAAAGCGUGCGCAGGCGGUUCGGAAAGAAGGUCUUGAAAUCCCAGAAGAGCUUAACUUUGGAACUGCAUUUUUAACUACCGAGCUAGAGUGUGUCAGAGGAGGUGGAAUUCCGCGUGUAGUAGUGAAAUGCGUAAUGAAUAUGCGGAGGAACACCGAUGGCGAAAACAGCCUCCUGGGAUAACACUGGCGCUCAUGCACAGCGUGGGAGCAAACAGGAUUGGAAAUACCCUGAUACAGUCCACGCCCUAAACGAUGUCAACUAGCUGUUGGGGCCUUCGGGCCUUGGUAGCGCAGCUAACGCGUGAAGUUGACCGCCUGGGGAUACGGUCGCAAGAUUAAAACUCAAGGAAUUGACGAGGACCCGCACAAGCGGUGGAUGAUGUGGAUUAAUUCGAUGCAACGCGAAAAACCUUACCUACCCUUGACAUGUCUGGAAUCCCGAAGAGAUUUGGGAGUGCUCGCAAAGAGAACCGGAACACAGGUGCUGCAUGGCUGUCGUCAGCUCGUGUCGUGAGAUGUUGAGUUCAGUCCGCAACAGGCGCAACCCCUUGUCAUUGGUGCUACAGCGAGGCACUCUAAUGAGACUGUCGGUGACAAAUCGGAGGAAGGUGGGGAUGACGUCAAGUCCUCAUGGCCCUUAUGGGUAGGGCUUCACACGUCAUACAAUGGUCGGGACAGAGAGGGUCGCCAACCCGCGAGAAGGGGCCAAUCCAGAAAACCCGAUCGUAGUCGGAUCGCAGUCUGCAACUCGACUGCGUGAAGUCAGAAUCGCUAGUAAUCGCGGAUCAGCAUGUCGCGGUGAAUACGUUCCCGGGUCUUGUACACACCGCCCGUCACACCAUGGGAGUGGGUUUUACCAGAAGUAGUUAGCCUAACCAUAAGGAGGGCGAUUACCACGGUAGGAUUCAUGACUGGGGUGAAGUCGUAACAAGGUAG